AUGUGAGCCAAUUACGUUCGAGCUAACUUGUAGGUUUCACAAAGAUCCCCCAGUAAAGGUGAUGCAUCCCUGACUGUUACAGACAGGGUACACAGAAUAGAGGCCAGGUUUUUUUCCUUCCUGUGAUGCUGCCCGAGUUUGAGGUCUGCUGUUGAGCGCUGCCUGAUCUGGAUAGACCCAAGUGUGAAUCCCUCUGAUUCUCAACCCUCUCCUGCAUUGUCUGUAUGCAUCUGGGUGCGUUUGGACUGGCGAGCCACCUGUUGAGUGAAUUCUCUGAACUUCUUAUAAGCUUGAACGUGGUUGCCGCCAAACGGUAGGAUUGAAGUUUUUUUGUGUGUUAUUUUUGGCCUAAUCCUGGAUCAGCUGCACAUUAAAGGACAUUUUCCAUUUUUUCCUAGAGACUGAACUGAAUUCAGACACUGAAGUUUUUUGUUGUCAUUGGGAAAAUUAUAAAUAUUGAGGUUCUUUAAAUUCAUAGUGAAUUAAUCUGUCACUGGUUUACUGGUUAUCCAGAUUUGUUGUUUUAUUUUGAUUCAUGUUAAACCUGUUGAAUUUGUUUAUUUUGAUAGUGAUCACAAUGCUUUAAGAGGAAAAAAGGGAAAUAGUACAAAGUAUUGACACGUGAGCAUUUUUGUGCUACUGUUUUUCUUUUGUAUUUAUUUUACAAAUUUUUGUGUUUGAUACAGUAAUCUUGUUUCUGAAUAUUGAAUGUCUGGGUGUGUUCACUCUUGUCGCUCCAUCUCUCGGACAAACCUAGCUUUCUGAUUGCCCUGAUGGUCCAAUUGAGUUAAUGCAAAACUUACACCCUUGGUGUGGGUUACAUAAUUCUAGUAAAAAACUACAAUCGUUGUUGGGCUCUAGUUCAACGCUUGUACAUUUAUGGAGUUAUCUAAGUCAUCCAAUCACAGGGUAAAAAAAUAUUCUAGAAAACAGGUCAAAAGCUUUUGGUAAUGU